rnacentral:lncRNA from 1 species
GAGAGUGAGUAUAUGAAUACUCAGUGAGUGGAGUAGAGAGUACUAUGCACAUGAGACAGAAUAUAAUCAUGGCUCGAGAUGAAAUCUCAAGAUCAAUAACAAGAUGAACAUGAUCUCAACAUAGAGAAUAUGGAGUAAAUCAUCAAUAUCACCACAAUCAAUAUCAACUCAUUUGAAGCAUAUAUGGAAAUCAAGUAAACAUAUAUGCUACUCAUGAAUAUGCUCAACAGAUCAUAAUGCUGGAACAUACAAAUCAGGUGUCAAUAUG